GUUCUUAUCGACUAACGGUCAGGUCGUAACCCUCUCAAGGUUAAAAUACGGGUUCGAAUCCCGUUAGGAACGCAA
rnacentral:tRNA from 1 species